rnacentral:rRNA from 1 species
CCCUUAGAUGUUCUGGGCCGCACGCGCGCUACACUGAUGCAUUCAACGAGUCUAAAACCUGCUCUGAUAGGGGUGGGUAAUCUUUUGAAUGUGCAUCGUGAUUGGGAUAGAUGAUUGCAAUUUUUCAUCUUCAACGAGGAAUGCCUAGUAAACGCAAGUCAUCAGCUUGCAUUGAUUACGUCCCUGCCCUUUGUACCCACCGCCCGUCGCUCCUACCGAUUGAAUGAUCCGAUGAAUAUCAUGGAUUGAGGAUGCAAGUAGGUUCGCCUAUCUUCAUCUUCGAGAAGUGAAGUAAAUCUUAUCAUUUAGAGGAAGGAGAAGUCGUAACA